GAUGAACGCUGGCGGCGUGCCUAAUACAUGCAAGUCGAGCGCAGUGGGGACGGGUGAGUAACACGUGGAUAACCUCCUAUAAGCCUGGGAUAACUUUGGGAAACCGGAGCUAAACCGGAUGCUUAUGGUUGGACUCGCGGUGCAUUAGCUAGUUGGUAAGGUAACGGCUUACCAAGGCAACGAUGCAUAGCGGACCUGACAGGGUGACGGGACACACUGGAACUGAGACACGGUCCAGACUCCUACGGGAGGCAGAGGUAGGGAAUCUUGCGCAAUGGGCGAAAGCCUGACGGAGCAACGCCGCGUGAGUGAUGAAGGUCUUCGGAUCGUAAAACUCUGUUAUUGGGGAAGCGGUACCUAAUCAGAAAGCCACGGCUAACUACGUGCCAGCAGCCGCGGUAAUUC
rnacentral:rRNA from 1 species